rnacentral:rRNA from 1 species
UACGAAGGGGGCUAGCGUUGCUCGGAAUCACUGGGCGUAAAGCGCACGUAGGCGGACUCUUAAGUCGGUGGUGAAAUCCUGGAGCUCAACUCCAGAACUGCCUUCGAUACUGAGAGUCUCGAGUCCGAGAGAGGUGAGUGGAACUGCGAGUGUAGAGGUGAAAUUCGUAGAUAUUGGGAGGAACACCAGUGGCGAAGGCGGUCCCCUGGGCCGGAACUGACGCUGAGGCGCGAAAGCGUGGGUAGCAAACGGG